rnacentral:lncRNA from 1 species
GCAGCAGAAAGCCUGGAUCUGAGCCCUCCAAAGUCAGGGGUAUCCUGCUGUAAACCAAAGUGGAACAACAGCAAACUCGAAAACAAUCAGCCUGUUUUUCCACUCUGUUCUCUGAAGCAAUAGAAAAGUUUUAACUUUUGGCCCUCACUUUUUUGUCAGCUCUGCUUGGCUAGGGCUCAAGUCACUGUUGGGUAACCCAGAAGAAUGUGACAUCACUAACCCCAUGACAUCAUUCUAUCUGGCUUGUCAUUACCCUGUGACAUCACCCACCUGCGCAGUGGCAUCCUCACAUCCUGUUCCAUGUCUUGACCCCGUGGAGUCACUUUAUGUGACCUCCUCGCCUGCCCACUGGCCUGGGACAUCUGCCUCUCUGCAGCCCAGUGCCCACCAGGUGGGGAGCUCGUCCGGCCCUGCUCCGCAGGCCCACGCUAGACGCUGCUCCGAGCUCGUGGACGGGCGAUUUCCAGCGCGAAGGCGCUGCGCAAGGUCCUGAGUUCGAUCCCCGGUACCAAAAAAAGAAAGAAAGAAGGAAAAAAAGCCGAGCGCCUUGCUGCACACCCCAGACAAGUGCUGCUGCGCGGCGGAGCCCUGCAAGCGCUCCCGCCGCUCGGAACUGGCGAAGACUGACGCCCUGGAGGUGACCGUAGGACGCCUGCGCGACCUGCGCCCCCGCAGGUGACCGGCGAGGCGCGGCCGGGCGUGCUGGGAGGCAGGAGGGGCGAGGGUCUCCGCCGGGGCGUCCCCUCCAGUCCCCGCCGCUCUGCAGCCAGACUCCGCACUGACCUCGCCUUCCUGGGCAAGCGUCGCGCCGCUCCACCGGCCCUGGCCAAGCCGCUUCCUGACCGGCUGCGAGGGCGUCUGCCGUGCCACUUGGCUGCCAGCCUCCCGGCUCUGCGCGAGGCUCCCGCGGUGCCCAAGCUGGGGCUGCAGGCCGGGGCGGGCCCGGGGGGCCGUGGAUGAGCUGCGCCCGGUCCUAGAGUGCGGGCUUGGCCGACUGUACUGAGCCGGAAAACGAUUUCCGAGCAAAAAAGGUUUUUCCUGCGGCUAGCUGACCUAACUGACAAAGAGCCACCCUCAGUUCCCCAAGUGUCUGUAUCCAGUGUACUUGUCUAUCAAAUCAUGUAAAAGAAAUGUAACGUCCUCCACCAAUGAACUGAUGAUAAAUGCCUUGCUUCUGUAUCCCCACUCCCCUUCCUUAACCCAUAUAAACCCUGUUCACUGCCGGCUCCGGGCGGAUCGCUUCGUGGAGAAAUCCUGCUCAGUCCGCCGCGUAAUAAAUUUGGCCCCAGCCUCCGGUGCGUUCUCCAUUCUUCUUGGCCUGGUCUUGCUAUACACUAAGAGCUGCCACACUGUGGACUGUAAGCCUACCGUUAUAGUACCACAGUGUAUUUAACUCCAGAGGCCCGCCUUGUCUUUUUGGGGGUUUUCUUUGUGAAUAGUCUUGUUCCUAAGAGCCUGCACACUCAGUCCCAGGAAGGCUGCGAGUCUCACGCUGGCCCUACGAAACCCUUACCCUAGGCCCCGCCCCUUCCCUAGGCCCCGCCCCUCCGGGCUUUGUCCCGCCCAGCUGGGUCCGCCCUUCCCUGGCACCGCCCCUAGCCCGGGCCUGUUGAAGCUCCGCCUCGGUCCGGGAGAUCUAGAUUUCCAGGUUCACCGAUGGAACCCAGGGCCCACCUUGGGGUGGCCCUAGGGUGUGAUGUUCCAGGAGGCAGGCAGGAAGGUGACAGCCACCAAGCUUUCCAGGAUGUAUCUCAGUGGUGGAAGGUGCUUAAAGGUUCAACUCCAAAUACCAGCCCCCCAAUAAAUACCACCCCUUUCAAAUGUCCAUCACCUGAUGAAUGGAUAGAUUGUGACGUAUCCUUACAACAGGAUAUUAUUUGACAAUAAAAAGGAAUGAGAAACUGGUACAUACUGUUGUGAGACUCUAAAAGACGAGAGACUGGGCGGGGAUUUAGCGCGAGUGGUUCCACGCCAGAUUCACAGGCACAAGGUCCCGAGUUCGAUCCCCGAUACCAAAAAAUAAAUGGGGGGGCUGGGGAUUCAGCUCAGUGGUUUCACUUCCUGCUGC